GGGUUGUGAGGUUAAGCGACUAAGCGUACACGGUGGAUGCCCUGGCAGUCAGAGGCGAUGAAGGACGUGCUAAUCUGCGAUAAGCGUCGGUAAGGUGAUAUGAACCGUUAUAACCGGCGAUUUCCGAAUGGGGAAACCCAGUGUGAUUCGUCACACUAUCAUUAACUGAAUCCAUAGGUUAAUGAGGCGAACCGGGGGAACUGAAACAUCUAAGUACCCCGAGGAAAAGAAAUCAACCGAGAUUCCCCCAGUAGCGGCGAGCGAACGGGGAGCAGCCCAGAGCCUGAAUCAGUGUGUGUGUUAGUGGAAGCGUCUGGAAAGGCGUGCGAUACAGGGUGACAGCCCCGUACACAAAAAUGCACAUACUGUGAGCUCGAUGAGUAGGGCGGGACACGUGGUAUCCUGUCUGAAUAUGGGGGGACCAUCCUCCAAGGCUAAAUACUCCUGACUGACCGAUAGUGAACCAGUACCGUGAGGGAAAGGCGAAAAGAACCCCGGCGAGGGGAGUGAAAAAGAACCUGAAACCGUGUACGUACAAGCAGUGGGAGCACGCUUAGGCGUGUGACUGCGUACCUUUUGUAUAAUGGGUCAGCGACUUAUAUUCUGUAGCAAGGUUAACCGAAUAGGGGAGCCGAAGGGAAACCGAGUCUUAACUGGGCGUUAAGUUGCAGGGUAUAGACCCGAAACCCGGUGAUCUAGCCAUGGGCAGGUUGAAGGUUGGGUAACACUAACUGGAGGACCGAACCGACUAAUGUUGAAAAAUUAGCGGAUGACUUGUGGCUGGGGGUGAAAGGCCAAUCAAACCGGGAGAUAGCUGGUUCUCCCCGAAAGCUAUUUAGGUAGCGCCUCGUGAAUUCAUCUCCGGGGGUAGAGCACUGUUUCGGCAAGGGGGUCAUCCCGACUUACCAACCCGAUGCAAACUGCGAAUACCGGAGAAUGUUAUCACGGGAGACACACGGCGGGUGCUAACGUCCGUCGUGAAGAGGGAAACAACCCAGACCGCCAGCUAAGGUCCCAAAGUCAUGGUUAAGUGGGAAACGAUGUGGGAAGGCCCAGACAGCCAGGAUGUUGGCUUAGAAGCAGCCAUCAUUUAAAGAAAGCGUAAUAGCUCACUGGUCGAGUCGGCCUGCGCGGAAGAUGUAACGGGGCUAAACCAUGCACCGAAGCUGCGGCAGCGACGCUUAUGCGUUGUUGGGUAGGGGAGCGUUCUGUAAGCCUGUGAAGGUGUGCUGUGAGGUAUGCUGGAGGUAUCAGAAGUGCGAAUGCUGACAUAAGUAACGAUAAAGCGGGUGAAAAGCCCGCUCGCCGGAAGACCAAGGGUUCCUGUCCAACGUUAAUCGGGGCAGGGUGAGUCGACCCCUAAGGCGAGGCCGAAAGGCGUAGUCGAUGGGAAACAGGUUAAUAUUCCUGUACUUGGUGUUACUGCGAAGGGGGGACGGAGAAGGCUAUGUU
rnacentral:rRNA from 1 species